UUGGCGUGCAGCGUGGACACCAGGUUGGCCCGCUCCUUGGGCGAGCGGGAGUUGAAGUGCUUCGGCAGGCGAAGCCGUUCCACCGGCUCCACCGGC
rnacentral:tRNA from 1 species